GAACAUUACGGUGGUAAGGUGAGAGAUAAAACGUCAGUCGUUUCCUAAGCAGGGUUUCUGUGGCGAUAGAAGGUCGCACGAAUCAGCAGGGCAAGGCCGUCUUUCUCAGUGGGAGAGAAAAGAAGAUGCAGGCAUAGCACAAAACGGUACUGCUUCAGAGCAGAUUGGUUUGAGAGAGCACUGUCAGCUUGUAUGUCAGUGACUGUGUGUCUGGCAUGACUGAAAGCCUUGUGUCUUCAGAUUAAUUUGAAGAAUAUAUGAAGGUAGUGUAUAGCUAUGGCCUGUGAGGUGUGAAAACUGUGUCAUAUAAAAACUGCAUGGUGAGAACCAGUCUGCUGAGAAUCAGGUCAUUUCCCUGUGAAGAAGAGCACAGUAGCAUAGCCAUGGCUGAGGUGAUAGGGUUGAAACAGCUCCAGCACCAGUCACCAUUCAGGCCUACAUGCAGUGGGCACAGGAUCUCCAGGGCUUUUGUGGCUUGUUGCUGGGAAAGCAGAAUACCUUUCUGUGACAAAAAAAAAAAAAAAAAAAAAAAAGAAAAAGUACAUCUUGAGAGAAUGACUGAAAAUGGGAAUGGAGCAGGAUGGGGAACUACAAAAUUACAUUUCUUAUUGUGACUGUAUAUGGAAGCACAGUACUGGAGCUCCCAAGACAGAAGUUGAUAAAUGUUUCAAGCGUGGAGUAGGGUUGAUUGAAUGAGCAGUUUCCAAUUGUGCUGUCUUGGUAGUAAUGUUUUUGUAUGAUAUAGUAUAGACAGAGGUCUCUAUCAUAUUUAAUCACUUUGUAUGACCUUGGUGAGAGCAAUGUUACACAACAGUACUUUAAAAAAGUGUGUCUGGUUAUAGUCUAUAGAGUGGGGUUUAAUAGAUCUGGCUUUACUUCUUCACUUUACUCCUUCAUUAACAUUUACCUAUCCAAGUAAGUCUCAGUGUUAGUCACCUCUGCAAGUAGAAGCUGGCAUGUAAAAGCUGCUUUAAUACCUGUCAAAGUUACUAAAAAGUAACUUCUGAAUGUUCAAUCUGUAAUAGGACAACAUGAAAGCUACAUAGAGAAACCUCAUUUUUUACUUUUGUGACAUGUCAUUUCAUCAGCAUAUAGAUUUUCUUUUAGAGCAAACUUGUAAAAUAAUGAUCUUGUUUAAUAAAAAAUGAAACAAUGUUAGGACAAUAUUUUUGGAAAUGUUCAGAGAUCUUCGGUUUGGCUGAUUGUUGGUGGUAUUUUGAAAUCUCUUUUAUUCUUGUCUAUAUUAUCAUAUAUAGUUAUAUUUAUGCAACAUCUGGCAUUUCUUUGUAGCUUUUACUUUUUGAAGUAAGUUCAGGAUAAUUGUAUUUUAUAAGCAGGUUUUUUUUUCCUGGGCCUCAAGAUAGUGUGUUUUAUGAAUCAUAUGUAAAUUCUAGCAUGUAAUCUGACCUAAAAUAAUUUAUUGUUCCUACUAGGUUACAAAUGGAUAUUGCAAAGUAUAAAAUUCAGAAUUAUAUAUUUUUUUUUAAUAUUAGUUGUACACGCUUGAUUGAUAUUUAUAGUUUUAUUGCUAAUUCUUUUAGAAUGCUAGGGUCAUUGAUAUGCCAAAAAAAAAAAAAAGUAUAUUUAGUCUGAUAAAACUUCUGGUAAGGGAACAAAAGAGUUAUUUAUAAGAUGGCUUUACAUUAAUUCUUGUGUAUGUUCAGCUUUUUUUUGAGGUGUCAGUCAUCAACCAGUAAAGUGCAGUAAUGGCAGAAGUCAUCAUCUCAUUCCUAAAAUAUUGUAGAGUUUAAAGUAAACAGUUUGCAAAUAAGUUUCAGGCUAUUAGUUGUUCAAUUGUUUCUUUAAUAUUUUUAAUAAGCAACUUUUAUAUUAGUAAGGUGUGUAUGUCAGUAAAUGAUGGUCAAGGGCAUGAUUUGAUCCUAAUUUUCAGUGGCUGACUGCAUUUAUAGUCAAAAGGUGGUGGUGUCACCUGUAACUCCUGCUAGCUAUAAUUUAUCUCUUGGCUUCAGAGAGCAGUGAAAUUGCUGUGAUAUAUGCUUAGGUACCAAAUAAAUAUAUGUGAUUACAUGUACCUCCAAGGCUAAAUCUCACCUUUUUUUUAAUUAUUAUUUGUCAAAAGGCAGUAAAGUCAGCAGCAACAAAGUUUUCUCUCAAAUCUGUGAGAAGUAUGAGCAAAACUUGUAUGUAAGCAAAAUCUUUCAAAUAUUUCCCUUUUCCCUGCAGUGAGAGGCAGGAAAGAGGCAGGAAAGAUUCUGUUGCUUGAUCACAGCUACUAAAUACAAACAUCAUCUCUCUUCCAUCAGGUGUAAAAUUAUUGUGGGUCCCUUUCAACUGUCCUCUCCUCUCCAAAAUUAAUGAAAUGAAAACAUCGUGAAAUGAAGGGAUGUUUAUAGAAAAUGAACUUAAUAGAAAUACUUAAAAUUAAGGAUUUAUUAAUGUGUUUUUCAAAUUUUUAAUGAGAUAGUCAAAUAUAUGAAACAUCAUGUAGGAUGUGCACUAUGUCCGAGGAAUCUCAUCAAGUAGUAACCCUAAAUCACUGUAGCAUCACUGAAUCUCAUUUGUACUGUUUGCAGGCUCAGAUGCUCAGCAAUUGCUAAGAAGUUGAGACACAGCAUAAAGUCUUCAUGGAAGUUCUGUGCCUUAUUCAUCUCCUCCUUUGUCUUACAAAAAUACUUUCCCUCCUCCACAGAAUUUAUGUCAGUUUGCCUGAUUAUUUGUAGCAGUGACUGUAAAGUCCUUGUGCAGCCAUUUGCUUCCACUGGCUGCCUGUUCUUUUCAGAUGAAGAUUAAGAUUGUGUUACAGUUUUCAAACAUGCACAAAUAAUUUUUAGUUAAGUACUGUAUAGUUGCUGUCUUCAAAUAAUUAUUCUAAUGCUGAGAGGCAAGGCGAAAGGUGUUCCCACACCUAAUUGCCAUAAUUCUCCUUCCCCACAAGCUAGCUGAAGUAUUUCUCAUUUUUGUUGUAUUAAUAUUUCUCUUUUUUUGUUGUAUUGGUACAAGAGGAUUGACUAAAAAGCCAUUGAGGAAUUCUGUCAUAGCUUGAAUCACUGCAGCACAAUGCCAUCAUGUUGACUUUCUGAUUGCCUCCUGUGUACUCUUACGUAUAGGUUAUGCAAGGAAGAAUUAAAUGACAUGGCAGAAUGCAUUUCCUGCUGUGUAGUAGCUCCACCGAUUCUGCUAAGAAUCUCAUGAGAAACAGAGCCAACUUCUGCGGCCUCAUUUGUUCCCUGCAGUUUGAGAUACGUGUUUUUGAAAAAGGAGAGGUUGGAGAAACAUCAAGUUCCUUUUUAAACAGAUUUCACAAAAGCUCAAUUAAAUGGUGAUUUGAUCUUAUGCAGCACAAAUAUUAUUUGCCUGGCAGAAGUAGCAGUGAGACUUCAGAUUGAGUAGCACUUUCCUGUAGUUGUCUGGACAUGUUUCAUAGGCAUAUGUACUGCGAAAGACUUGAGUUUUUACUUUCAUCAUUACAAAAGGCAUAUAUAAGCAUUUAACUGAGAACUGGAGCUUUAGACUUAAAGUAGUCUAAGGGUCUGACUUUAAGUCUAGAAAUCACUAUCCAACUCCUGUUAGAUUUAGGAUUAAACUCAUAACAGAGUACAGGUAUUAUGCUGCUUAAAGAGGCACAGAUAGGUUUUAUCCUUUUAGAUCCAGUGGUAGUUUGUUCCAAGUGCCUAUUCAAGUCAAAGCAUGAUUUUUACUAUUGCUAUGAAGAACGCAGGUCUCUUGAAAAUUUAUCCUUCAAUUCAUUGUUUAGAAAAUGAAAUGGCCAUUAUGUAUCAGAAUACUGGGAAGAUUACUGUGAACUAACUGCUGGCAUGUUCAGGACAUGAAGGCACAUCCUCAAAGUUUAAAGAAAAGCAAGCUGAUUAUACGAGUUUCCUAUGCCUCUUUUUCAGCUUUUCAUAACUUGAUAUUUCAGACCCCAUACAGUUCUCAUGCUGAUAUCAUAAACUGAGCAGUUUGGUAUGACAUAAUUCCAGCCUCUUUGAAUUAGUGAUGGCAGUUAGAUUACCAUUAUUGAUAGUGCCUGCAGGCAGGGAACCAUUAGGGUGUCAUAAACCUAGCAACCUUGUAUGAUGUAAUGCUAAUAUUUUAAAUUUAGUUGUUACAGUUAGGUUGCAUCUCAAGGGUUCCUACUCUAGUACCUGGUUGUGUGAGAGGAUAGGAUGCAACUUUUCUAAGAACUUUUAAACCCUGUAUUUCAUAAAACAUUUGAUUAAUAUUUUCCAGUAGCAUACAUGGCAGAAAUAUUUUCCAUUUGCUGUUUUUAAGUAGAACAUGACAAGUAAUAUAAGAGCAUCUUUUCAGCAGCUUUCAUGGCUUUCAGUAUUAUUUAGAAUGUAUGAUUGAUAACUGGAUAAACUAGGGAUCAAACCAGAUAGAAUAAACUUAGCGUUUUGAAAAAAGUGUAGCUAAAAGUUUUGACAACGGUCAGUAUACAGAUGAUUGUGACUGUUUUCUUACAGCUUUCUCCACAUUUUGGCAUUUAAUGUAUAUAAAGAAACUUUAAUAGGAGGCUAAAUCUAAAUACUUGGGAUAAAAAAUUUAAUUUGCUUACUAAUUUUAAAUUUUAAGACUGUGACUGGGAAGAGUUUUAACAUAUGCUUGCACAGUGGUCAGAGUGUAAGGAAGUUUAGCAAAUUUCUGUUUACCAUUGAUAUUCUGCAUGUCAUGGGAGCAGUAAGUCAGGACUAUUGGCAUAGGUAUGAAUGCCCAUUCACCAAAGGAUAUGGUUUUGAUGUAUUAGCUAGCUAAAAAUGCAGAGGAAUUUGGCAGAAUCCUUCAAAGGAACACAAAUAAAAAUGCAGAGAGGAAUUUGGCAGAAUUCUUCAAAGGAAUACCAUUUUUAAAAUUAUUAUUUAACUUUUUUCCAAAGAACAUCAACAAUUCUUUGGACUCUUAAAUUAUAACAAAAUUUAAAUUUCUCCACAGCAAGUCCAGCAUUGCUUCUCAAUAUCUGAAAAUGCCACUCUUUGCUGUGGUGUAGGCUUUAAUUCAGCUUGUAGGUACAUAAAUCUCCCCUGCUGAUUUUGAACAGCAGGUUUGGAAACACAUUUCUCUGAGAAUGUUUGGAGUGUGUAGAUUACAGAUAGUGGCAUACCUAGCUAAAGAGAUAAAGAAAUCAUAUAUCAUACUGAAGUAUAUCCCUUUGAGAGCAACCAGGAUGCUUUGUGGCUGAAUUUAGUAUUGGGACUCACAUGUAUAAACAGACAAGGGACAAUACUACAGUAAGUUAAACCAGAUAAUGUAUCCUCAAAAUCAACUUGUUUAAACAAUUACACUGUAAAAAAGGGAAUCCAGCAAGCGGGGCACAUAGAAUUUGGUUUUCUCAGGAACAAAGCUUGAAAGUCACAGUUCAGUCAAAUGACAUGCAAAGAUCCAGUUGCAGCUAGCUCUGUGAGGACUGUAGAAGGGUGCAGACCAACCAGCCAGAAAACCAGCAGGUAUCAAAGCUCAUAAGUAAACCACACAGUGAACAGCAUUAGAGAUAUUAGCCAGUCUAGUGGCAGUGGUCACUAGGCAAACCAUUUAAAGUAACCAUGAGAAAUUCAGUGUUGCUUUUCAGUGACUCUUCUGGAAAUGCUGAGUAGCCAGAAUUAAAGAAAUUACAUAGGAAGGAAUAAUACAAUGCUGACUUUAAAGAUCUUAUUUGCUUAUUUUGUUUUCUUCAUUAGCAAGAAACAAAAAUUAGGGAAAUAAAAUGUCUCGUACUGUGUUGUUCACCUGCUACCUAUUGAUGUUGCUUUCCUGCUGUCUUCUCCAUCUGCUUUAAAUUAAUUUCUGAAAUUUGCCCUCCUUAAAUAAAUUCUUAUUAAUUUCAUAAGGGAAAAAACCAAAAAUAAAUAGCAAACACAAAGACUUUUAGUUGAAUUGCAAACAAUUAGAACACAAUGGGGAGAGGAGCAAGGGAAGAAAAACACAAUACCAGUUAUGAAUCAUCCAAGAAGGUAAUAAAAUCUGUCAGAUCCUGGGAUUUAUAUAAAAUUAUUAAUUUGCCUUUUACAGGGAAAACUGAUAUUUUAAUUAACGAAACUUUUCAUUAGUGGUAGCAUUAGGAUUUUACUUGGUGUAACCAAAAUGCUGUCUUAAGAUACUAAAUAGUAGUCAAAAAAUGUAAAAGUAUAUUAGUCACAAAGACAUAAGAAACAGCCUAAUUCAGCAAUACCCUCUCUUUUAUUCACCCACUGUGCUUUUCACCCGUUUGGUUUCCGUAGGAACAUAAGAUCUAUCCAUGUCUGCUAAUAGAAUUCUCAUCUCUAACUCUUCAUGCUGUUUAUACAUACACAUUCCUUUAGCAGACAGGUAAUUUUCUUCCUAUUUUGAGCUUAUUGAGCCUUAGUAUAUAUAUUUUCAAUCCAAUUCCUCACUUUUUUCACUAAGAAAUCUCUUCUGCUCACAUUUGUUUCAGUGACUGGAUAUCAUGUGUUUAUUCUCCAGGACUUGGUCAUAAUGGCUUAUUGCUGCAGAUAUACUGUGUUUCUGUGGUUAUAUAGGUUUCUUUCAUUAAAAAAAUCCAUUAAAUUUACUGAAAUGAGUGUAUUUUUAGAGGCUGAGUUUUGCAUCUAAGUUAAGAGAGCUUAUCAGAAACUUAACGACAGUUUUUGUCCUGCUUUGGUAGCAGUACAGUACAGCUAAAGUGGAAGUGAAUGUAAAAAGGACAGUUAUAAUUGAAGCACAGAUUGCGUACACUAUGAAAUUAUUCUUUUAAGAACUGCAACCUUUGCUGCUAUAAUAUGUCGUAGUAGUAGCAUAGCUUUGAAAUUAAACAUGAUGAAAUUUACACGCUAUGUUAACCUUGCAUAAAGGUUAGGAAGGAAGAAAUUUCCAUGUAAAAUGUGUCCGUAAUUUUAUCUUUGGUGUUCUGACUGAGGCUGCAGGAACGGGUACUUACUUGGUAUUUACUUAGCCCAAGUAAAAGGGAGAGCAGGAGGCUUUUGCCAAGCUCUGAAUACACCUGCAGGUUGAGUGACUGCUGUGAGGUCUUUUCAUUAGCUAAUGGGGUGACAUUCAGGAGACCACUCACCUUUGGGCGCCUUAUUCACUUUCUGUUUAAAUAUGAUAGGCUACUUUUUCUCCAUACGUUUCUUGCCAUCUCCACUUGCUCUUUUCGGUAGUGUUUUACAUAAUUGGCCUACAAAAUAAAAUAUUGUUUUCUUAUAUUUGUGUGUAAUUAGAGAUACAUUAGAUUUUCUUGUUCUACAAGCUAGAGUAGUGCUCUACUUUCUGGGCAAGUGACUACUAAGAAAUGAAUUUAUAAAGGUCCACUAGAUUUGUGGGGAAGAGUCUUCCAGAUUGCAGGAAAAUGUUAUUUGUUUACUUGCCUUUCUGUUUCUGCAGAACUGAGGAAAUAUCCAAGAGGCCAAGAAUAUUUUGACAUUCUGACAUUCACUUUCAUUAAUCAUAUGAAAACAUAUUCUAUUAUAUUCUAUGAUUUUGGGGCGUGAUUGCUGUCAGGUAAGAAAGAACACUGAAAAAAUUGCAAGUGAAGCCUCUGGUUUCUCUGCUACAUGUAUUGUAAAUUUAGAAGACUAAAGAAAACAGAUCAGUCAUCCAUGAACCAUACUCCAGAAUGCUCUUUGUACACAUUGAGUCUUUCAAGAGGGAUUUGGGUCUUCUGAAAGUCUACUAACAAUACUGUUCUUCAAUUUAAGCAGUUGAGUAGACUAAAAGAAGCCAACCAUUUUUCAGCAGUUAACAGAAACUCCUACAGGGUAAGAAGUGAGUUUGUAAAUGCCUUAAGAUUUGGUGCUGGCAAAUAUGAAGCAUUACGUUGUGCCAAGAUUAUGACCUCAAGAUGAGAUGACCUGUCAGUCUGAUGAAAUGUUUGCUUUGAAUAUAAAUGUCAUGGUUUGCAAUGCAACUUCAGCCUGGGAAGUCCAUGCUUUGAACCAGCGAUUCUUACAUGAGUGCAAGGGAAAAAACAGGUUACUCAGAAUUUUCCCUCCUCACUGUUUUAUCUCAUAGUAUGUACUCUAGUAAAAUAGAAGACAUAACUUGCUGGCCAUGGGCUACCUUGAUUCAUAAGGAGAGGAUUAUAUGUCAUGGGGAGCCCAAGUUUGGUCCCUUGAAUGCAGAAGACAAGGCAAUAAUCAUGGUCCUGACUGUUGGCAAUAAUCACACUCCUAACUGGCAGCCCAGGAAGUGUUGGCUGUCUCUGCUGCAAAGGUACACUCUUUGUUAUUAUUCAGCUUCUUGCUCCCCACAGGUUUAGGUGUUAUUUUGUCUCCAGUGUAGCACUCUAAAUUUGUCUUUGUUGAACUAUAUUGUUACUCUGCUUUGUGAGGGAUAUUUUCAAAAAGGAAUUUGUUUAAAUUUAUAAGAGUUUAAAAUGUUUUAGUUUUCAUGCAAGUAAUUCUGAAUUAUAGACCUGCCUCAUGUUCUUUUCAGUCUCUGUAGCAAGCAUUUCCUUACUUGUAAAAACACAUGCUUAUAGAAGUAACAAUUUUUAAUAUAAGAUUUAGAGCUUUUAGGGGUUCAAAAUUUCCUAUGUCUCUCAAAACUAUAUGAUGUUGAUUCAGUAUUUAUUCAAACUGUUAGAGAAAAAUGAUUCAAUAUAACUAAUAAAUAGAUUUUAAUGGUUUCUAAAGGGAAGGAAAUGAUUUAGCUCUUUUUCAUUUAGCGAUCUAAGGGCAUAUGUAAAUGACACAUAGGAAUAAUGUCUGGGCUACAUACUUGCCCUGUGUAAGUUCUAAUUCAAGUCCAGUUUAAGCAAGACAGAACAGAGUCACCAAAUCAAAUACUACUGAUUCUUAAAGGGCAAGAUAAAUUACAUGAAAUUUGCACAGUCUGUACAACAAAUUGAAAGUAUGUUCAGCUGGAAUUUUCCUCUCUAUGUUUGAUGGUAGCUGUGUAAGUCACUGUGGCUCCAAUCAGAAUCACGGGUGGGAACAGGCAUCUCCAGAGAUGCCUGAGAAAGGUCAGACAAAUCGUUUUCCAGGCAUGCCUAUCUCUGUAUUGACUGUACAGAGCCUAAGGUUACCUGCUGAAGAUUACCUGCUGAAGUUAAAUGAGUCUCUCACACUAAUAUUUGAAAACACCUGGUAAUCCAUUUUAAAUACUCACACACUAAAAAAAAAGGAAGUGUAUUUUUCAUCCAGAUUACUGUUGCUUUACACUUUCUUGUUUAGUUUAUGACAUUGUCAAAAUUAGGGCACUUUUCAUCUAAGAAGUGCCCCUCCAUGAAGCUCUGCUUAUUAUAUGAUUAACUAUAGAUGCUAUUUUUGAAACAUAAAUAAUAUAAUCAGAUAAUAGUGCCAACAAAUUGAAUCCUAAAUAACUAUUUAGGAUUCUUACUAAGGUGACAGAAACAGAAUUUAGAACAUAAAAUUCAGAAAACUUUAUUCAGAUUUAUGUAUUACUUGAUUAAUUGCUAGAUACAUCACUAUUCUGUAUGCACGUAUUUGUACCUAAGCCUAACAGCAUAUACUAAUACUCUGCCUGAUUCAGGAGUAUAUUGAUACAUUUAUUGACAAAUAAUUUUUUUUUCCUUUUUUAAAAAGUUAUCUUGCUGCUUGAGUUUUAUUCAAACAGGAGCAUUCAUACAACUGUUCAUUUUCUGUUGCUUGUACCCUUACAACACCUCUUUAAAAAAUAACGGAAUGCACUAUAUAGGUUCAAAGAGAUGGUACUGUUUUUGAUUGUAAAUAAUGACAGCAAAUGCAAGAAUAUUUUGUAUUUAUUUUUAUUAAAUAAAGCUUAUUUUCAAACAAUGUACAUACCUGUUUUAAUACUUGAUUUUGUC